CUGGGGGCAGGGCAGGAGAUGUGUCAGAGAGGUGCUGGUGGGAUAACUCCAAACAUGUAGAGUCUUGUAAGCCACUGAGAGGACUUUGGAUUUUGCUCUUUCUGAGAUAGGAAGCCACUGGCAGGCUCUGAGCAGAGUGACAUACCAGCCUUGGAUUAUAAGCAGGGUCCCUGUUUUUGUUCUGGUGAUACAAGACUGUAGGAGCAGAAGUAGAAGCAGUUAGGAGACCAGUGCAAUAAUCCAGGCAAGAGAUGAUGGUGGCUUGGUCCAGGGUGAUGAUAGGGAGAUGGUGAAAUACGUUAAUAGUCUUAAUCACUCAUAAAUAUGACAUUUCAGAACGUGCUGGGAGCAGCGCAGACAGUGUGUAGGGAGCCAUCCAGAGGCCCCACCCACCUGGGAAGCCAGGGAAAGCUUCCAGGGGGAGGGGGCGGUUCUGUGGGCUGCAGUCCGAGGGGGAAAAGCAAACGUGUAGGCAGCAGGAGUUGAGAGAUGGGAUCCAGACAAGGGCCUUCAGAUAUAUAAAUAUCCCUUUCUGAGACUGACGGG
rnacentral:lncRNA from 1 species